GCCCUUAUCGUCUAGAGGUUUAGGACAUUUCUUUUUCAAGGAAAUAACAGGGAUUCGAUUUCCCUUAAGGGUG
rnacentral:tRNA from 1 species